rnacentral:rRNA from 1 species
GACGAACCGAGCGAACGUUGUUCGGAAUCACUGGGCUUAAAGGUCGCGUAGGCGGGCUGUCAAGUCUGGGGUGAAAUCCCGCGGCUCAACCGUGGAACUGCCUCAGAUACUGACGGCCUCGAGGGAGAUAGGGGCGAGCGGAACUAAUGGUGGAGCGGUGAAAUGCGUUGAUAUCGGAAGGAACGCCGGUGGCGAAAGCGCGCUGCUGGACCUCUUCUGACGCUGAGGCGCGAAAGCCAGGGGAGCAAACGGG